GGGGAAUAUUGGACAAUGGGCGAAAGCAUGAUCCAGCCAUGCCGCGUGUGUGAAGAAGGUCUUCGGAUUGUAAAGCACUUUAAGUUGGGAGGAAGGGCUGCAAGUUAAUACCUUGUAGUUUUGACGUUACCAACAGAAUAAGCACCGGCUAACUUCGUGCCAGCAGCCGCGGUAAUACGAAGGGUGCAAGCGUUAAUCGGAAUUACUGGGCGUAAAGCGCGCGUAGGUGGUUUGGUAAGAUGGAUGUGAAAUCCCCGGGCUCAACCUGGGGAACCGCUCCAGUAACUGCGGGACUAGGGAGGGGGGAGGGGUGGGGAAUUUCCCGUGGUGGAGGGAAAAUGCGUAGAUAGAGGAAGAACAAACAGGGGCGAGGGAGACCACUGGGACUAUUACUGACACGGGGGGGCGAAAGCGGGGGGGGAAAACG
rnacentral:rRNA from 1 species